UACAGAGGGGGCUAGCGUUGUUCGGAAUUACUGGGCGUAAAGGGCGCGUAGGCGGCCCUCUAAGUCGAACGUGAAAUCCCCGGGCUCAACCCGGGAACUGCGUCCGAUACUGGCAGGCUUGAAUCCGGGAGAGGGAUGCGGAAUUCCAGGUGUAGCGGUGAAAUGCGUAGAUAUCUGGAGGAACACCGGUGGCGAAGGCGGCAUCCUGGACCGGCAUUGACGCUGAGGCGCGAAAGCUAGGGGAGCAAACGGG
rnacentral:rRNA from 1 species